UACGGGGGGUGCGAGCGUUGUCCGGAAUCACUGGGCGUAAAGGGCGCGUAGGUGGUCUGAUAAGGGUGUGGUGAAAGCCCGGGGCUCAACCCCGGGUCGGCCGUGCCGACUGUUAGACUAGAGUGCUGUAGAGGCGGGCGGAAUUCCGGGUGUAGCGGUGGAAUGCGUAGAGAUCCGGAAGAACACCGGCGGCGAAGGCGGCAUCCUGGACUGGUCCUGACACUCAGGAGCGAAAGCGUGGGGAGCGAUCCGG
rnacentral:rRNA from 1 species